ACUCCCAACCCAAUGUGAACGUUACCAAACUGUUGCCUCGGCGGGGUCACGCCCCGGGGUGCGUCGCAGCCCCGGAACCAGGCGCCCGCCGGAGGAACCAACCAAACUCUUUCUGUAGUCCCCUCGCGGACGUAUUUCUUACAGCUCUGAGCAAAAAUUCAAAAUGAAUCAAAACUUUCAACAACGGAUCUCUUGGUUCUGGCAUCGAUGAAGAACGCAGCGAAAUGCGAUAAGUAAUGUGAAUUGCAGAAUUCAGUGAAUCAUCGAAUCUUUGAACGCACAUUGCGCCCGCCAGUAUUCUGGCGGGCAUGCCUGUCCGAGCGUCAUUUCAACCCUCGAACCCCUCCGGGGGAUCGGCGUUGGGGAUCGGGACCCCUCACACGGGUGCCGGCCCCGAAAUACAGUGGCGGUCUCGCCGCAGCCUCUCCUGCGCAGUAGUUUGCACAACUCGCACCGGGAGCGCGGCGCGUCCACGUCCGUAAAACACCCAACUUUCUGAAAUGUUGACCUCGGAUCAGGUAGGAAUACCCGCUGAACUUAAGCAUAUCAAUAAGCGGAGGA
rnacentral:rRNA from 1 species